rnacentral:rRNA from 1 species
GAUGAACGCUGGCGGCGUGCCUAAUACAUGCAAGUAGAACGCUGAAGGAGGAGCUUGCUCUUCUGGAUGAGUUGCGAACGGGUGAGUAACGCGUAGGUAACCUGCCUGGUAGCGGGGGAUAACUAUUGGAAACGAUAGCUAAUACCGCAUGACAACAGUUAUUGCAUGAUAACUGUUUAAAAGGGGCAACUGCUCCACUACCAGAUGGACCUGCGUUGUAUUAGCUAGUUGGUGAGGUAACGGCUCACCAAGGCGACGAUACAUAGCCGACCUGAGAGGGUGAUCGGCCACACUGGGACUGAGACACGGCCCAGACUCCUACGGGAGGCAGCAGUAGGGAAUCUUCGGCAAUGGACGGAAGUCUGACCGAGCAACGCCGCGUGAGUGAAGAAGGUUUUCGGAUCGUAAAGCUCUGUUGGAAGAGAAGAACGAGUGUGAGAGUGGAAAGUUCACACUGUGACGGUAUCUUACCAGAAAGGGACGGCUAACUACGUG